rnacentral:rRNA from 1 species
CAACUCGCCUGCAUGAAGUCGGAAUUGCUAGUAAUCGCGGAUCAGCAUGCCGCGGUGAAUACGUUCCCGGGCCUUGUACACACCGCCCGUCACACCAUGGGAGCCGGUAACACCCGAAGUCAGUAGCCUAACAGCAAUGAGGGCGCUGCCGAAGGUGGGAUUGGUGACUGGGGUGAAGUCGUAACAAGGUAAC